UAUGAUAGAGGCGCGGAAAUCAUCAGUAGCUCCUUUUUAACGCGGCGGGGACCGCAGGGGGCAAAAGGGCUUUCCGCCGAAGGGUAUCCGUUUUCCCGGACGGAUAUGCCUGGGCCGGCGCGAGAACAUCCGCCGGACUGUCGCUUUUGCAAAAAAGCGGAGAGCUGUCAG
rnacentral:ncRNA from 1 species